CUCACCUGUCCUGUACCUCUGUGCUUUCCCAGGUAGCCACGACCACAGAUAAUGGACCAGAUCUGUCAGCAGCAUCCACCUUGAAAGCAGGCUGCAGGAAAAGAGCUAUAAUGCCAGAGAACACCAGCAUACUGGGUAAAGAAAACAAGAGGACACACUUGUGCAACACAUGACCAACACCUUAGUGCAGCACCAAAAUAGACAGCAAUUCAAAAGAAAAUCCAGGCACAGAAGUCUCCAGCAACUUGCACUUUUUCACAUAGUUACUAAUGAAAUUAAUGCAAAUGGGUUAGUACACCUAAUAAGACUUGAACACAGCACCUAAACACAUGAUUUCACAAACACAGAUGCCACAAAUCAGAAGUUCUGGCAGCCACGUGGUUUUGAACUCAUCCAGCAACAACACAUACAGAAUGAUGAAAACACCAGAUGAAAAGAACAUGAUAUAACAUAAAUGGGCUGAUGUAUUACUGCUGAAAGAAAAUGGUGAACACUUUCCCAGUUGCUUUAAAUUCAGCACUGCAGAACCACUUUUUACAAAACCCCAAGCUGAGACACUCUACUGGCAAGUAAUGCUAUUAGUUCCUGAAA